AAUUUUUUUAAAUAAGUUAGGGUUAGGUUAAUAGGGUUAUGGUUAGGUUAGGGUUAGGGUUAAUUUUAAUAUUAGGGUUAGAGUUUAGUUUUGCGCUAGGAUGGUUUUUUCUGCGUUAUAAAAACGGAAAUCUUAUUUUGAAGCAUACUAUCUAGCAAUUACCAAACAAUUACAGGCCCAUUUGUAUAUUUCCGAUUCUAUCUAAACUCCUCGAACGACAUGUUGCCAACUCAUAUGUAAAAUUCCUCACAGAAAAUGAUAUUCUAUCGAGAUGCUAGGAUGGUUUUCGAGCCCAUCACUCUUGUGAAUCUACUCUAAUAUUGAUCUGUGAACACCUUCUCGAUAACAUUGAGCAAGGUUUAAUUAGUGGUAUAGCUCUAAUUGACCUCUCCUCUGGUCGAUCAUAGAUUGCUACUGCAGAAAUUAGAACAAUAUGGCAUUACUCCAACAGCUUUAAAAUGGUUUAAAUCGUAUCUAAAUUAUCGUUACUAAGUAGUACAAAUUGCAUCAUCCCUAUCCAACCCAGCUCUGAUAAAGUCUGGUGUGCCUAUGGUGGAUCUAUACUAGGACCAAUUCUCUUUCUUAUCUUUAUUAACGAUUUACCCAGUUAUGUUGGAAGUUCUAAGCCUUUUUUAUUUAAUUUUUUUUUUUUUUUUUUGGUGUUGUGUACUCAGGUGAAUAAUAUGUUUGUGAUGUUACUCUGAGUGCAUAUCCACACCGGGCGAGCUUGAAAAAAUAUGCCCGGCCACGGUGGGAUUCGAACCUACGACCUUUGGAAUACUAGCCCAAUGCUCUUCCAACUGAGCUACGCGGUCAGGACGGCUCGAGUAAGUGAUAUUUCGGAACAGUAUCUAGUUCCUUCAAUACCAAUGUGUUCUUGUAAUAUGAAUUUUUCUGUGCUGGUGUUGUGUACUCAGGUGAAUAAUAUGAUUGUGAUGUUACUCUGAGUGCAUAUCCACACCGGGCGAGCUUGAAAAAUAUGCCCGGCCACGGUAGGAUUCGAAGCUACGACCUUUGGAAUACUAGCCCAAUGCUCUUCCAACUGAGCUACGCGGUCAGGACGGUUCGAGUAAGUGAUAUUUUGGAACAGUAUCUAGUUCCUUCAAUACUAGGACUUCAAUACUGACUCUACACUAACAUCCGCCGGAUCGGACCUUCACGAACUUAGUGUCUCUCUAAAGUCAGGUAUGACCUCAGUGUCCCGUUGGACUAACCAUAACAAAAUGUCUCUUAAUCCUGGCAAGACAAAAAUAAUGAAAAUAUAUUCCCAAUCUAAAUUCCCUGUUCUUAGUCCAAUAACCAUUGAAGUCAAUAACAAUAAUGUUAAGGAGAUUACAUCCGCCAUUUUACUUGGAGUUACAUUAGACCAACA